CAUUACCGAACCGUCGACACGAGUUGUCGCUGGCCCUCAAAAGGGGCACGUGCACGCUCUGUUUACACAUCCACUCACACCUGUGCACCCUCUGUAGUUCUGUGGCCUCGGGGACCCUGUCCCCUUGCCCGGUCCUACGUCUUUACACACACGCCGUAACGAAGUCUCAUGGAGUGUACGUCGCGUUUAACGCAAUACAAUACAACUUUCAGCAACGGAUCUCUUGGCUCUCGCAUCGAUGAAGAACGCAGCGAAAUGCGAUAAGUAAUGUGAAUUGCAGAAUUCAGUGAAUCAUCGAAUCUUUGAACGCACCUUGCGCCCUUUGGCUAUUCUGAAGGGCAUGCCUGUUUGAGUAUCAUGAACAUCUCAACUCUCAUGGUCUGCCAUGAUGAGCUUGGACUUUGGGGGUCUUGCCGGCCUAGCGUCGGCUCCUCUCAAACGCAUCAGCUUCCCAGUGUUUGGUGGCGUCACGGGCGUGAUAACUAUCUACGCUCGUGGUUCUCCACCAUGUAACCUUCAGCGAUGGAGGUUCGCUGGUGCUCACAGAUGUCUCUCCUCUGCGAGGACGGCUUUUGAACGUUUGAUCUCAAAUCAGGUAGGACUACCCGCUGAACUUAA
rnacentral:rRNA from 1 species